rnacentral:misc_RNA from 1 species
CCAACUGCCGUUCUUACAAUCCAGGGGCCUUUGACAAUGUUGGCAAUCAGUUUAAGCCUUGACUUUCUGAACCCAUCAUCCCCUCUCAAGAACUGGUCCAUCAAUGAUCCCUCUGGAACUGGUUCUGUGGUAACAAAAUAGGCCACCGCACUAUAAUUAUCUUUGCUGGGUACUUGUAGAUUAAAUGCCCAAACAAAAGGC